GUUUGUAUAUGCAUGUGUGCAUGUACAUUUGUGUGAAUAUGCAUAUGACCCUGUAUAUGUUGACAUAUCUGUA
rnacentral:miRNA from 1 species